UAUUUGUGCAUAUUUAAGUCGCUCUGGAUAAGAGCGUCUGCUAAAUGACAUAAA
rfam:Salmo salar isolate Sally breed double haploid chromosome ssa22, whole genome shotgun sequence.